UACGUAGGGGGCAAGCGUUGUCCGGAUUUAUUGGGCGUAAAGAGCUCGUAGGCGGCUUGUCACGUCGGGUGUGAAAGACCGGGGCUUAACCCCGGUUCUGCAUUCGAUACGGGCUAGCUAGAGUGUGGUAGGGGAGAUCGGAAUUCCUGGUGUAGCGGUGAAAUGCGCAGAUAUCAGGAGGAACACCGGUGGCGAAGGCGGAUCUCUGGGCCAUUACUGACGCUGAGGAGCGAAAGCGUGGGGAGCGAACAGG
rnacentral:rRNA from 1 species